AGCGAACGUUAGCGGCGGGCCUAACACAUGCAAGUCGAACGAGAACAGGGACUUCGGUCCCCUAGUAGAGUGGCGGACGGGUGCGUAACACGUAGGUAAUCAACCUUCCGGCGGGGGACAACAGCUCGAAAGAGCUGCUAAUACCGCGUACGUCAGCGAGGACUCCGGUCUUUGUUGGGAAAGAUGGCCUCUCCUUGGAAGCUAUCACCGGAAGACGAGCCUGCGGCCCAUCAGCUAGUUGGUGAGGUAAAAGCUCACCAAGGCUUAGACGGGUAGCUGGUCUGAGAGGAUGAUCAGCCACACUGGAACUGCGACACGGUCCAG
rnacentral:rRNA from 1 species